rnacentral:rRNA from 1 species
UACGUAGGCAGCGAGCGUUGUUCGGAGUUACUGGGCGUAAAGGGUGUGUAGGCGGUUGUUUAAGUUUGGUGUGAAAUCUCCCGGCUCAACUGGGAGGGUGCGCCGAAUACUGAGCGACUAGAGUGCGGGAGAGGAAAGUGGAAUUCCUGGUGUAGCGGUGAAAUGCGUAGAUAUCAGGAGGAACACCGGUGGUGUAGACGGCUUUCUAGACCGUAACUGACGCUGAGACACGAAAGCGUGGGUAGCAAACAGG